rnacentral:rRNA from 1 species
UAAGGCUAAAUACUCCUCUGUGACCGAUAGUGAACCAGUACCGUGAGGGAAAGGUGAAAAGAACCCCGGGAGGGGAGUGAAAUAGAACCUGAAACCAUAUGCUUACAAGAAGUUAGAGCCCGUUAAAGGGUGAUAGCGUGCCUUUUGUAGAAUGAACCGGCGAGUUACGAUAUGGAGCGAGGUUAAGCAGGAUAUGCGGAGCCGAAGCGAAAGCGAGUCUUAAUAGGGCGAAAGUUGCAUGUCGUAGACCCGAAACCGAGUGAUCUAGCCAUGACCAGGUUGAAGUUGGGGUAAAACCCGAUGGAGGACCGAACCGACCCCCGUUGAAACGUUGGCGGAUGAGUUGUGGCUAGGGGUGAAAUUCCAAUCGAACUCGGAGAUAGCUGGUUCUCCCCGAAAUAGCUUUAGGGCUAGCCUCGGAAUUGAGAAUGAUGGAGGUAGAGCACUGUUUGGACUAGGGGCCCAUCUCGGGUUACCGAAUUCAGAUAAACUCCGAAUGCCAUUCAUUUAUAUCCGGGAGUCAGACUGCGAGUGAUAAGAUCCGUAGUCGAAAGGGAAACAGCCCAGACCACCAGCUAAGGUCCCAAAAUAUAUGUUAAGUGGAAAAGGAUGUGGGGUUGCACAGACAACUAGGAUGUUGGCUUAGAAGCAGCCACCAUUUAAAGAGUGCGUAAUAGCUCACUAGUCGAGUGACCCUGCGCCGAAAAUGUACCGGGGCUAAACAUAUUACCGAAGCUGUGGACUACACCAUUAGGUGUAGUGGUAGGAGAGCGUUCUAAGGGCGUUGAAGGUCGAUCGUGAGGACGGCUGGAGCGCUUAGAAGUGAGAAUGCCGGUAUGAGUAGCGAAAGACAGGUGAGAAUCCUGUCCACCGUAUGACUAAGGUUUCCUGGGGAAGGCUCGUCCGCCCAGGGUUAGUCGGGACCUAAGCCGAGGCCGAAAGGCGUAGGUGAUGGACAAUUGGUUGAUAUUCCAAUACCACUAUUAUCGUUAUUAUCGAUGGUGUGACGGAGAAGGAUAGGAUGUGCUAGCGAUUGGAAAUGCUAGUCUAAGCAUUUAGGGAGUUAAAGUAGGCAAAUCCGCUUUAACAAUUCUGAGGUGUGAUGGGGAAGGUCAUUUUGACUGAAGUAUCUGAUUCCAUGCUUCCAAGAAAAGCAUCUAGAGAGAGAAGUAGUGCCCGUACCGCAAACCGACACAGGUAGAUGAGGAGAGAAUCCUAAGGCCAUCGGAAGAAUUGCAGUUAAGGAACUAGGCAAAUUGACCCCGUAAGUUCGCGAGAAGGGGUGCCUGUGAGAGCAGGCCGCAGAGAAUAGGCCCAAGCAACUGUUUAGCAAAAACACAGGUCUCUGCUAAAGCGUAAGCUGAUGUAUAGGGGCUGACGCCUGCCCGGUGCUGGAAGGUUAAGGGGAACACUUAGCGCAAGUGAAGGUGUGAACUUAAGCCCCAGUAAACGGCGGCCGUAACUAUAACGGUCCUAAGGUAGCGAAAUUCCUUGUCGGGU